UACGGGGGGGGCAAGCGUUGUUCGGAAUUACUGGGCGUAAAGGGCUCGUAGGCGGCCAACUAAGUCAGACGUGAAAUCCCUCGGCUUAACCGGGGAACUGCGUCUGAUACUGGAUGGCUUGAGUUUGGGAGAGGGAUGCGGAAUUCCAGGUGUAGCGGUGAAAUGCGUAGAUAUUGGGAGGAACACCAGUGGCGAAGGCGGCUCACUGGACCGGUUCUGACGCUGAGGCGCGAAAGCGUGGGGAGCAAACGGG
rnacentral:rRNA from 1 species